rnacentral:lncRNA from 1 species
ACCCCCAAAUGAUUUUUGUUGUCAUUUUGGAUAGUCUGGGUUGUCGAAUUCAUGUAUGGGUAUGAUGGUGUCGAGUCCAUGAGACUCUAAUUUUGCGAGAGUCCUUAAUUGAGACUCCAUUUUUGCUCUAAAGUGUUCAUGCAAAUAAAGAAAGAAUAAAGAGAUUCGUGAUGUGAAUCCACUUUAAGACUAUAUCGAAUAAACCAAACAUGAAACCUAGUAAAGUCGUACAACCAAGAUACUAUCCGAAAUGGAAAAUAUGCAAGCAUAGGAUAAGCCAACUUAUUAACAGAACUCAAAGUAACUAGCCUACAAGAUAAAUCUAAUUCUCAAGUUUAUCCAAUUUAAUCUAUAACGAAGUUACAUUUUAAGGCAAGAAGAUAAUUAAAACAAGUAAUUUAUUUAAAACUUAUAAGAAAGACUUAAAUACAUAUACUAUAUAUGUUGACAUAAUAGGAAAGAAACUUAAAAACUCACAUUUUUAAAAAUAACAUAUUCAGAGAUUUACAUGCCAUUUAUUUAGAAAAAUUGAAGGAAGCUUAUGUACACAUAUUUGCUAAAAAAUAAUAGGAAAGAAGUUUAAAAAUUCACAAGUUAUUGACAGUAUAUUUUUCAUUCAACAAAGGGAACACAUAGAAGCAUCAUAACCUAAAAUCGCUUACCAGAUAAGGAUACCAAAUGCCAAGGAAAACAUUUUCAUCACGAUGACAAAGAAAACAGAGGAAAAGAGGAACACGUAACAAGUCGGAUAUCGAAAUACAAAGUUUAGGACAUAAUUUAGUAAAAAGCUAUACUCCGACAAACAUAAACGAAGCAAUACAUAUUUUAUAAGCUUAACAUUAUCUCAAAACAAAGGGAAAUAUAUUUGGUUAACAUCACUUAAGUAUGCUGAUAAGUAUUUUACUCAUUUGUCAAACUUCAAGCAGAGCAUAGUUUUCAAAGAGUUUACUACCUAAAAAUGAGUCUUGGAAACAUGAUUUCUAAAAAAUAAAAUAAAACAAUCUUCAAAAUACUUUAACAUCUGAUUUUGACAAAAGCAAUGAACAAAUAGUGAAUAUUAAAAUCAAAGAUCAACUAAUUAAGUUACAUUCAUUCAUCAUGAUGCCAAAAAUACAAAAGUGCUGAAAUGAAACUAAUAGUAAGUCCAUAACACAUUAAAACACAAAUUCGUUCAUAUCUCACGGAAAUAAAAAAAAGAAACUAGAUGUCAUUGACCUAUUUUGGGGCAGUGAACUGGGGGCAUUUUCGGUCGAAGAUAUGCUCGAAUAUGAAGACGAGGUUAAACCCGUUCAAAUCCAAAAUUGCAGCAACAAAAUGAAGAACAAAACUUUAAAACUAGGUGUGAUAGCUUCAAAGCUUUUAGGGUAGACGAGUAGCUGAAAAUCUUAUCCUCAAUUUGACUCCAAAUACAAGUAUUUAUAGGGAGAAAAAUAGAGUUCAUGAGCGGGAAUUUGAAUUUUUUAAAUUGGUAAAAAAAACCUUCAAAUCCAAACGUUGGAAACCCUUAGGAUAAGAUUUGCAGGAGCCACGUGAUUGAGAGGAGUUGGCGUGAAGAUGGAGUACCUACCCUCUACUUAUUGUUGACAAAAUACGCUACUUUUCCAGAAAAAAUGAAAGAGGAGACAUGAUGUGCGACUGCUAAGGGAAAAGACAGGAGAUUGAAACCUUAAGAUACUUGGAUAACUUUAAAAAUAAGAUUAGUUGGGCUGUUGUGUUUUUAGGCCUCCAAUUGGGGUUUUUUUUGGAUAAAUUUAGUAUCCCCAAAGGCUGAAUAAUUUUUGGGUCUCAAAUUGAAUCUUCUUCAACAAAUUUUGUGUCUCAAUUGGCUGAAAUAGUUUUUGGGUCUUUCAUUCUUUAAAACAAUUCUUCCGAGCUUCUAAUUUAAUAACUAACAUAACAUAUAAUUGGUAUGUAGAAAAAAAUAAAAAUGUUAAUAUUAUAAAUUUUCGCUAAUAAUUUAGAGAAAUAUUAACUUGUGACUAAUUUAAUAAGUAAGAAACUGAAAUAGGAUGACGACAAUCGAUUAUUAAAAAAAGGUGAUAGUAUAAUUUUACAUAUAAUUUUAGUAGUAAUAGAAUUAUGACAUAACGAUAACAAAAUUAAUGAUAAAUAGUCGUUGUAGUAAGAAUAGUAUAUGAAGAAAAAUAAUUUGCUACAUUAUUAAUUUAGAAGCUCGAAAACAAUAAAUUAGAAGAAAUGAGGGUCAAAAUUGGGUGUCAACAACUUGUCCCUCUUUGACCAGAAACGAUGUAAGAGUUUUUGGGCAAAGAAAUUGACGUAGUAGCCAAUUUUGUCCCGACCAACGCAGCUUUAUGAAAAAUAUGAGAAUAUUUUGAUGUGAAAAUUUAUAUAUAUCCCGAACUGUGGGACAUAGGUUGAGUAGUGUUCGAGAGUAGAUCCUUGACCAUUGUUGGUGAACUUGAUUCUCCAACAAAUUGCCCCAGUCCACUGCUUAGAAAUAGUUUCACGUUGUGCCAAGACCCCUGCAAAACUUAAGCUUGAUAAGAUAAUUAGUAAGUAAAUAUUAAAUAUAAAGCAUGGUGCAAUAAACACAUGGAAAUAACACCUCAUGGGUGUGAAUUUAUGAAAAAUGUGGCCUUGCAAGUCGAAAUGAUUUAAUGAGAUAAAAUCUUACAAAGUUUAUGGAAAGGGGGUUUAAGGCUGAUGAGACAUGAGAAUGGUGCUUUGCAGCGAUGAUUAAUGAGAAUGAAGCCUUAACCCAAAAAAUACAGCCUUUUAAGCUGAUGAUUUAUGAAAUGAAGUUUUUGAAGGUAAUGCAUUUUGUAAAGUGUUUGUGCAGUGCAUUUGAGAAUAUGCAUUCGUGUGAAACAUAUGAAAGCAUUUGCGCGGUGCAUUUUAGAAUAUCUGAAAGCAUUGUGCGGUGUAUUUGAAAAUAUUUGAAAGCAUUUAUGCGGAACAUCUGAAAGCAUUAGUGCGGUGCAUUUGAAAAUAUCUCGAAACAUUUGUCCAGUGCGCUUGAAAAUAUUUGAAAGCAUUAAUGCGGUGCAUUUAAAGGUAUUUAUGCAGAGCAAAACUGUAUGCAAUGUGUUUAAAUAAUAUUUGUGUAUCAACACAUUUUAAAACCUUUGUAAAGCUUUACUUAUAAGUUUUUGAAUCAUAAAUUUAUAAGUAAGUAAUUCAAACCACUCGGUAUACAGUCUUUUCGAUUCUAUAGACGUUAUUGACUUCUCAGCUCCUGUUAAUCCUGACAAACAUGCACUCAAAGAAACAUUAUAAGUUUUGGGGGAGGUUGAUUCGCGUUGACUUUGAAGGUCUGGCUCUUCAUACUUCUUGCUUCCAGCUUUGCUUGACUUGUAACUUUUGUCUAUCCUAAAUCUUGGUUAAUGAAUAACAAUGGAAAUAAAUAACAAGAAAACAUUUGAUUGAACAUCAUAUUUAAAAAUAAGAUAAAAUUAUAUACGUGUAUAUAUAAUAAUAAAGAAUUUAUGUCGAACUUCAAAUUGUGACAUGUCGUGAAACAAAACGAACGUCCUUUAUCUGAAGUCUUUCUUCUGUCGGAUGAUUUGAUUGACCAUAUACUCUUCAAAUCUCUUGAUAUCAACUUGCAAUGACUCCCUUAAAAACUGUCCCAGUUUUUGGCAAAAGAGAUAUGUUGUCCUUUGGUCACGAUGAUAUUGAACCUUCUAUAGGCUGCACACUAUUCUUUCAAGAGCAUCCAGCCAAACAUAACCUAAGUAUCCCACCAUGGAAUCAGGUCAAGGCGUAGUUCCAAUACAUGACAAAAGAUUACAUGAAAAUGAAAUAAAAACUUCUAGAUGUAGUAUCUCUUAACCGCAUCUGCAUUGAUGGCUUUCGACCAUAUCUUACUAUCCAUUUCUGCUAGAAUCAAAGCUCAUCCAGUCAGUACUCGGUGAACCAUGUAAGGUCCUUGCCAAUUAGAUGCAAACUUCUCCUUAGCCUCAUUUUGGAGUAGAAAUAUUCUCUUCAACACCAAUUGUCCCGGUUCAAACUGUCUCAAUCUUACUUUCUUGUUGAAAGCUUUUGUAACACCAUGUAUCCGAAAACAGACCUUAAAACAGAUUUCCAGAAGUUGCAAGUGCAACUCACAGACACCACCCACGGACCGUAGGGUGACCCACGGCCCGUGCUGGUGGUCCGUGGUUUGCAUCAGCAACCUCCCUCAAAACUCAUCCCCAAAAUUCGUCUAAGGGUUGACACACGACCGGACCCACGGACCAUGGUCCGCAUCCGUGGAUCAGAGCCCCAGAAACCAGCCUCUAGUACUGAUCAACGGUUGACCAGCACGGACCGUCAGUCGAUCGACGGUCCGUCGGUCACCCCGACAACAGUUAAGUCGGGGUCUUUUGGUCUUUUCGUAUUUUGUUGGACCCCUAAACUACGUGGUUUUGGUUAGUUUUAGCCUAGAAGCAUAACUAGAACUUACCUAAGUCAAAUCAUUCAUCAAAACUUAGAAAGUUAGAACGCUAAGAGGAGAAAGAAGUCAAGAACACUAGUUCAAGAACGCAACUAGGAUCCAUCAGUUCCAGCAUGGAAAUCGAAAAUUUUCUCCGUGGAAUUUGUCACCAGGUAUGUGGGAUUUCACUAGUGGGUUCCUUUUGCCCAUUAGGUCCUUAGAAUUCAGUCAGAUUCUUGAUUCCCCAUUAUUUACUAGACCUAGGAAUUUUAGAACUUCAGUAGAUUAUCAUAAACUAGUUAAUUUAAUGUUCCAAAUCAGAUUACCAUGUUAUUACUUAGUUUCUCAUAUGAUAUUCAUAACCCUAGUUGUAUAUAUUUGUUAGUUCAUGAAUUAUGCAUGCUAGGUUAGAUUAUUCAGUUAUUACAGAUAUACCUAUGCUUCAGUUUACGAAUGUCACACUAUCAGUCAUAAUUGUUGCAUUCUCAGUUUGCAUGUUAGUUUUAAUCUAUCUAGUUAUUACAGAAAUUUAGUCUUAAUGUGUUAAAUCAUUUAAUCUAUUGGGAGUAGCAUAAUACUGAGUUGGACUAGGGUCAGUCACGUAUAUAGUUCCAGAACUACGAGCCACAUAGGUUUUUAAGUCCUCUCUGUGGGAAUCAUUUUAGUGAUCACACCAGCAUGCCUCUAUACCUUUGGCCGGGUGUAUUGGGUCCUCUCGAUGGGGCUUAUACAUGGGACUCCACAUUUAGCUCAUGUGGUUUUAUGUCAGUUAUUAGUAGCUCUCACAGUUCAAUCAGACUCCAUUGCAUUGACCUCAUUUCAGUUAAGUCAGUAUUCAGUCUUAGCAUGUUAUAAAUUUGGUCAUUGCAUUCAGUUAGCUCAGUAUUCAGUAUCUAUAUCAUGUUCAGAUUAUACUCUUGCUUGUUCAGUUAUAUGUUAUUUCAUCUUUACUCUAUCUUACAUGCUUAGUACCUUUCAAGUAUUGACACAUAUUCUGUGCUGCAUCUUCUCAUGAUGUAGAUUCAGGUCCUCAAUAGUAGAUCUCGCAUCGAUCGGUUACCGAUCUUUAGAUCAGUAGUAUCAGUGGUGAGUCCUCAUUCUUCGAGGAUAGUAGUCAAGUUAUUUACUUCAGUAUUUCAGUCUUUUAGUUUCAGUUUUGCAAGAUAUAGUUGGGGCAAUAUCCUAGCACUUCUAGUCAGUUAGAGGUCAUUUUCAGACAUAGUUAAAUUCAGCUUAGUAUUGGAGUUUGAUAUUUCUCUUAUAUUAAAACUCUCUGAUUGAUAUAUUCAGUUCUAGAAUGGGUAUUCCCCAUCAUUCUUGUUUUCAUGAUAUUUAAGCUUCCGCAUCAGUUGUUAUUAUUCUUAGUGUGCUCAUGUCAUGCCAGCAUGGUUAGCUUGGGGUCACUUGUGAUCCUAGGUCCCGUGUUCGCAUCUCGGGGGUAGCUCGGGGUGUGACAAACUUGGUAUCAAAGCACUAGGUUUAAGUGUCCUAGGAUGUCUGAAAAGCCGCGCUAGGCCCUUUUCAUGGGUGUGUAGUGCGCACCAUAUCUAAUAAGAGAGAGGCUACACAGUGAUUUAGGAAAAAUCUUCAUUUUCUUGUUACUCUUAUCGUGCGUAAGGUAUGAUCUAAUUCCAUUCCAACUCGACGUUCUACGUUUCAGAGAUCAUGCCUCCUCGUAGAGCUAACGCCAGGAAUGCGAAUGCCAGGAACGUAAAUGCAGCUCAUCCAGUCCCAGAUCAAGAAGUUUCGAAUGCAGAGUUCUGGAACACCAUUCAGAUAUUGGCUCAGAGUGUGACCAACCAAAACAAUCAGUGGAUUCCAGUUCCGAUAGAUGCUAAUGUUGGGUCAGCUGUAGCCAGAGUGCGAGAUUUUGUUAGGAUGAAUCCGCCAGAGUUCUUAGGAUCGCAGAUUAGUGAGGAUCCGUAAAACUUCAUUGAUGAGGUGAAGAAGAACUUUAAAGUGAUGUAGGUAACUGGGAAUGAUCGGGUUGAGUUAACAUCUUACCAACUCAAGGAUGUGGCUCAUAUUUGGUAUACUCAGUGGAAAGAGAACAGGGGUACAAACGCUGCUCCUAUCACUUGGGAUUACUUUAGCGAGACCUUUCUGGACAGGUUUUUCCCUAGAGAGUUAAGAGAGGCAAAAGCUCAGGAAUUUAUGAACUUAAGGCAAGGUAACAUGACAGUCCAAGAGUAUGGGCACAAGUUUACCCAACUCUCCAGGUAUGAUCUUCACAUGGUUGUUGAUUUCAAGGCCCAAAUGAAUAAGUUUCUAUAUGGAGUGUCAGACUUGGUGAAGACAGAGUGUAGGAAUGCUAUGUUGCUAGAAAAUAUGAGCAUCUCUAGGCUCAUGAAUCAUGCUCAGCAGGUUGAAGGAGAUAACUUAGGGAACAGGCUAAGGAGAACAAGAAGGCUAGGACUGGGAACUAUGACUAUUCUCAACAGAAAUCGGGUGGUGGUAAUCGCUCGCAAUUUCAGUAGAGGUUUUCAACUCCAGCACCUUUAUCAUCUAGUGUUCCAUCCUCCAAGUUCCGUAAUGAUCAGAAGGGUAGGGCCUCAGGCUCUAAGUCUCAGGGAAGUGUUUCAGGUACCAAAACCUACCCAAAUUGUCCUAAAUGUGGUAAGAACCAUCCGGGUGAGCGCCUUGCAGGAAAAGAAUGAUGCUUUGGGUGUGGUCAGUCGAGUCACAGGUUGAAAGAUUGCCCUUUUAGACAGGGUCAAGGAGGUAACAAUGGUAGAGCUCAGUCCACAGCUUCAGCAACACCAGCAGGUCGCCUGACUCAGGAAGGUAACUCAUCUGGUACAGGAAGGUAACUCAUCUGGUACAGGAAGGUUAACUCAUCUGGUACAGGUGGCGGACAAUGCCAAAACAGGUUGUAUGCUCUUCAGGCUCGCCAGGAUCAGGAAGACUCUCCAGAUGUAGUCACUGGUACGUUACGAGUCUUUGACUUAGAUAUUUAUGCUUUGUUAGAUCCAGGAGUUACUCUUUUCUUUGUAACUUUUUAUAUAGCAGUCAAAUUCGAUGUUAGUUCAGAAACUCUUUCAGAACCUUUCUUAGUCUCUACUCCAGUCGAUGACCCAGUUAUAGCUAGGCGGAUAUACAGAAAUUGCCCUGUUACAGUCUCCCAAAGAGUCACCUCAGUAGAUCUUGUAGAGUUAGAAAUGGUAGACUUUGAUAUCAUUCUAGGCAUGGAUUGGCUAUAUUCAUGUUAUGCCUCAGUCGACUGUAGAACCAUGAUUGUUCGUUUUUAGUUUCUAGACGAACCAAUUGUAGAAUUGAAGGGUAGUAGCUUAGCGCCUAUGGGUCGAUUCAUUUCUUACCUUAAGGCCAGAAAAAUGAUCUCUAAGGGUUAUCUCUAUCAUCUAGUUCGGGUUAAGGAUUCAAGCUCCGAGACCCUAACUCUUGAGUCAAUUCCAAUAGUUAACGAGUUCCCAGAAGUGUUUCCAGAAGAUUUUCCCGGAGUUCCUCCCGAUAGGGAAAUCAACUUUGGAAUUGAUCUCCUUCCAGAUACCCAGCUUAUCGCUAUUCCUCCUUACAUAAUGGCUCCAGCACAACUUAAGAACUUGAAAGAGCAGUUGAAAGACCUUCUAGAUAAGGGGUUCAUCAGACCUAGUAUUACCCCAUGGGGUGCACCAGUGUUGUUCGUAAAGAAUAAAGAUAAUUCUCUCAGAAUAUGCAUUGACUAUAGGUAGUUGAACAAGGUCACAAUCAAGAAUAAGUAUCCCAUCCCCAGGAUUGAUGACUUGUUUGACCAACUUCAGAGUGCUAGUCAUUUCUCAAAGAUAGACCUUAGAUCGGGUUAUGAUCAACUCAAAGUCAGAAAUAGUGAUAUUCCGAAGACAGCCUUCAGAACUCAAUAUGAUUAUUAUGAAUUUGUAGUUAUGUCAUUUGGACUAACCAAUGCUCCUACAACUUUCAUGGAUUUGAUGAACAGAGAGUUCAAGCAGUAUUUGGACUUGUUCAUUAUCGUCUUUAUUGAUGAUAUCCUCAUUUACUCUAGGAAUGAGGAAGAACAUGUGAAUCAUUUGAGGAUUGUUCUGCAAACUCUCAAAAAUCACCAGUUAUUCGCUAAGUUUAGCAAAUGUGAGUUUUGGUUGCAAUCUGUUGCUUUCCUUGGUCAUAUUAUGUCUAGCGAAGUGAUCCGAGUGGAUUUUCAGAAGAUAACAGCAGUGAAACAAUGGCCCAGACCUACCUCUCCUAUAGAUAUCAGAAGUUUCUUGGGUCUAGCGUGCUAUUACAGACGGUUUGUGGAAGGAUUUUCAUCCAUUGCCUCACCAUUGACUAAGUUGACUCAGAAAAAGGUUAAGUUCCAAUGGUCAGAUGAUUGUGAGAAAAGCUUUGCAAAAUUGAAGACUAGGUUUGUUGACUCAAAAGAAGGUCAAGUUUUAGUGGUCAGAUGAUUGUGAGAAAAGCUUUGCAAAAUUGAAGACUAGGUUGACUACAGAUCUUGUUCUGACUCUACCAGAGGAUUCAGAUGGGUAUGUUAUCUAUUGUGAUGCGUCCAGAGUCAGCCUAGGUUGUGUGUUGAUGCAGCGAGGUAAAGUUGUAGCUUAUGCUUCUAGACAGCUUAUGGUGCAUGAGAAGAACUAUCCAACUCAUGACCUCAAGCUAGCAGCAAUAGUGUUUACACUUAAGAUUUGAAGACACUACUUGUAUGGUGUUCACGUAGAUGUGUUCACAGACCAUAAGAGCCUUCAGUAUUUGUUCACCCAGAAAUGGUUGAAUCUUUGCCAGAGGAGAUGGCUUGAAUUCCUCAAGGACUACGAUAUGAGUGUGCAUUACCAUCUUGGUAAGGCCAAUGUGGUAGCAGAUGCUCUUAGCAGACUAUUUAUGGGUAGUGUAGCAUAUGUUGAGAAAGAAAGAAAGGAACUAGCAAAGAAUGUUCGCAUACUUGCUCUCUUAGGAGUUCGUCUUAUGAGCAUAUCAAAUUGUGGUGUAACAGUUCAGAAUAUGUCAAAAUCUUCUUUGGUAGUGGAGGUGAAGGAAAAGCAAGACAGUGAUCCAAUAUUUCUUGAACUAAAUGGUGCAAUCCACCAGCAGAGGGUUGAGGUUUUCUCCCGGGGGGAUGGUGUACUUUGUUAUUAGGGUCGAUUAUGUGUUCCUAAGGUGGGUGAGUUGAGACAACAGAUUCGUGCAGAAAACCUUAACUCCAGAUAUUCUAUUCAUCCAGGCGCCACUAAGAUGUACCAUGAUCUGUGGGAAGUCUAUUGGUGGAAUGACAUGAAAAGAGAUAUAGCAGAUUUUGUGGCUAAGUGAAUUGCCAGCAAGUCAAUGUAGAACACUAGAAACCAGGAGGUAUGACUCAAGAGAUUGACAUUUCUACUUGGAAGUGGGAAGUGAUCAACAUGGACUUCAUCACAGGUUUACCUCGUACUCACAGACAUCAUGACUCCAUUUGGGUGAUAGUUGAUAAAGUUACUAAGUCUUCACGCUUUUUGGCAGUUAAGACUACAGAUUCGGCGGAGGACCACGCCAAGCUUUACAUUAAUGAGAUAGUUAGGUUGCAUGUGGUUCCUUUGUCUAUCAUCUCAGAUAGAGGUCCCUAGUUUACCUCUCAAUUCUGGAAGUCAUUUCAGAAAGGUCUUGGUACUCAGGUUAAUCUUAGCACAUCAUUUUAUCGACAGACGGAUGGUCAGGCAGAGCGUACCAUCCAGACCUUAGAGGACAUGUUGAGAGGUUGUGUGAUUAAUUUCAAGGGUAGUAGGGAUGAUCACCUUCCUCUUAUAGAGUUUACUUACAAUAAUAGUUACCAUUUCAGCAUUUAGAUGGCCCCUUAUGAGGCAUUGUAUGGGCGUAGGUGUAGAUCUCCAGUUGGUUGGUUUAAAGUAGGUGAAGCAGCCUUGAUAGGACCAGAUUCAGUCCUUGAUGCGUAGAAAGUGCAACUCAUUAUAGAUAGACUUAAGACAGGCCAGAGUCGCCAGAAGUCUUAUGCAAAUGUAAGGAGAAAGGGAACUAGAGUUCCAAGUUGAUGAUUGGGUUUUCAUCAAAGUGUCGCCUAUGAAAGGGGUGAUGAGAUUUGGCAAGAAAAGGGAAGCUCAGUCCUAGAUAUGUAGGCCCUUACAAGAUCUUGAAAAGGAUUGGUAAAGUGGCUUAUGAGUUAAAGUUGCCAACAAAACUAGCAGCAGUGCAUCCAGUUUUCCACAUUUCACUAUUAAAGAAGUGUGUGGGUGAUCCAACAUCUAUUGUACCCUUAGAAAGUGUGGCUGUGAAGGAUAGUCUCACUUAUGAAGAGGUACUAGUUGAAAUCCUUGAUCAUCAGGUUUGAAGGUUGAGAAACAAGGAAGUCGCUUCAGUCAAGGUUUUGUGGAGGAGUCAGUCCGUAGAGGGAGCUACUUGGAAAGCAGAAGCAGCCAUGAAAGCCAAGUAUCCUCACCUCUUUCCUUCCGAUUCCAUUCCAGCUUGAGGUAAUAGUUCCUCUUCAGUUUUUCAGUCAUUCAUGUGCAGUUUCAGUCUUAGUAUCAUGUUCCUUCAGUUUGUACUUGCAUUUUUAGCGUAUUUGCAUGUUCUUAGAACUUAGUUCAGUUAUAAAUCAGUUUCCAGUGUUUAGUGGUAGGGUUGUAGCUCUUUCCCUCCAUUUCAGCUAGUUUAGUCUUCAUUCGAGGACGAAUGUUUCCAAGGGAGAGAUAAUGUAACACCCCGUAUACGAAAACAUACCUUGAAACAAAUUUCCAAAAGUUGCAGGUGCAACUCACGGAUGCUAUCCACGGAUCGUAGGGUGACCCACGGCCCGUGCUGGUGGUCUGUGGUUCGCAUCAGUAACCUCCCCCAGAACUCAUCCCUAAAAUUCAUCUAAGGGUCGACCCAUGACCGAAACCACGGACCGUAGGUCAGACCACGGACCGUGUUCUGCGUCCGUGGAUCAGGCUCUAGAAACCAGCCUCCAACACUGAUCGACGGUUGACCAGCACGGACCGUCAGUCGAUCGACUGUCUGUUGGUCCCGUCCGACCGUCACUCCGACAGUAGUUAAGUCGAGGGUUUUUUGGUAUUUUCGUAUUUUGGUGGACCCCUAAACUACAUCGUUUUAACCCUAAACUACGUGUUUUUGGUUAGUUUUAGCCUAGAAACAUAACUAGAACUUACCUAAGUCAAAUCAUUCAUCAAAACUUAGAAAGUUAGAAUGCUAAAAGGAGAAAGAAGUCAAAAACCCUAGUUCAAGAACGCAACAAGGUUCCAUCAGUUCCAGCAUGGAAAUCGAAAGAUUUCUCCGUGGAAUUCGUCACCAGGUAUGUGGGAUUUCACUAGUGGGUUCAUUUCGCCCAUUAGGUCCCUAGAAUUCAGUUAGAUUCUUGAUUCCCCAUUUUUAACUAGACCUAGGGAUUAGAUUACCAUGUUAUUACUCAAUUUCUCAUAUGAUAUUGAUAACCCAAGUUGUAUAUAUUCGUUAGUUCAUGAAUUAUGCAUGCUAGGUCAGAUUAUUCAGUUAUUACAGAUAUACCCAUGCUUCAGUUUAUGAAUGUCACACUAUCAGUCAUAAUUGUUGCAUUCUCAGUUUGCAUGUCAAUUUUGAGCUAUCUAGUAUAUUACAGAAAUUCAGUCUUAAUGUGUUAAAUCAUUUAAUCUAUUGGAAGUAGCAUAAUACUGAGUUGGACUAGGGUCAGUCACCCAUAUAGUCCCAGAACUACGAGCUACAUAGGUUGUAAGUCCCCUCUAUGGGCAUCAUUUUAGUGAUCACGCCAGCAUGCCUCUAUAUGUUUGGCCGGGUGUAUUGGGUCCUCUCGAUGGGGCUUAUACAUGGGACUCCACAUUUAGCUCAUGUGGUUUUAUGUCGGUUAUUAAUACCUUCCACAGUUCAGUCAGACUCCAUUGCAUUGACCUCAUUUCAGUACAGUCAGUAUUCAGUCUAAGCAUGUUAUAAAUUUGGUCAUUGCAUUCAGUUAGCUUAGUAUUCAGUAUAUAUCAUGUUCAGAUUAUACUCUUGCUUUAUUGCUUGUUCAGUUUUAUGUUAUUUCAGCUUUACUCUAUCUUGCAUGCUCAAUACCUUUCAAGUACUGAUGCAUACUCUACUCUACAUCUUUUUGUGAUGUAGGUUCAGGUCCUCAACAGUUACAUCACGCAUAGAUCGGUUCCCAAUCUCUAGAUCAGUAGUAUCAGUGGUGAGUCCUCAUUAUCCGAGGACGGAUAAUAGUCAUGUUAUUUACUUCAGUAUUUCAGUCUUUUAGUUUUAGUUUUGCUAGAUUUAGCUGGGGCAUGUCCCAUUACUUUUAGUCAGUUAGAGGUCAUUUUCAGACAUAGUUAGAUUCAGCUUAGUAUUGGAGUUUGAUAUUUCUCUUGUAUUAAAACUGUCAGAUUUGAUAUAUUCAGUUUUAGAAUGGGUAUUCCCCAUCAUUCUCAUUUUCAUGAUAUUUAAGCUUCUGCAUAAGUUGUUAUUAUUCUUAGUAUGCUCAUGUCUUGCCAGCAAGGUUAGCUUGGGGUCACUUGUGAUCCUAGGUCCCGUUGGCAUCACUUAACUCAGCUUCUUGGAUUAUCCUCAGAGAUGGUAUCUCAACCUCCAUUGGUAACACUGUUUUUGUUCCAUAAACCAAAAGAUAAGGUGUUUCCCCAGUCGAAGUCCUGAUUGUGGUGCGGUAGCCAAGAAGGGCAAAUGGCAAACUCUCAUGCCAAUGAUUGUAGUUGUCAAUCAUUUUCCCCAAUAUCCUCUUGAUAUUUUUAUUGGUUGCCUCAACUGCUCAGUUUAUCUGAGGUCGGUAAGGAGUGGAAUUGCGGUGAAUAAUUUUGAAAUUCUCACAUAUCUCAUGCAUCAAGCCACUAUUAAGAUUAGCUCCAUUAUCUGUAAUAAUUGACUCAGGGUUCCAAAUCUAUAAAUAAUGUUAUAGCGGACAAAAUUCAUCACCACCUUCUUUGUCACAGACUUGUAUGAAAAUGAUUCUACUCACUUUGUGAAGUAAUCAAUAGCUACCAGAAUGAAUCUGUGUCCAUUUGAGGCGGCUGUCUCAAUAGGUCCAAUGACAUACAUCCCCCAAGCUACAAACGGCCAAGGAGAACUCAUCAUAUUUAGCUCAUUUGGUGGAACCCGAAUCAAAUCACCAUGAAUAUGACAUUGAUGACACUGUCUCACAAAACGAAUGCAGUCUAUUUCCAUGGUCAUCCAGAAAUAUCCAGCUCGUAGAAUCUUAUUUGCCAAAGUAAAACCAUUAAUGUGUGACCCACAUGUACCCCCAUAUAUUUAUUCAAUUAACUUUCUUUCCUCUUGAGAGUUAACACACCUUAAUAAUCCCAAAUGUGGAGUCCUCCUAUAUAGGAUUUCUCCACUUAGGAAAAAAUGAUUGGUGAGUCUCUGAAGUGUCCUCUUUUGAACAUUGUUUACGCCUUCCGGAUAGUCUCAUUCUCCGACAUACCUCUUAAUGUCAAAGUACCAAGGUUCUCCGUCCAAAUUUUCAUCUACAUGGAAAUAAUAGGUUGUCUGAUCCUGCACAUUAACCUUGAUUGGGUUUAUAUAGUUCUUGUCUGGUUAUUGAACCAUUGAAGCCAGGGUUGCUAGAGCAUUGGCAAACUCAUAGUAGAUAUGGCACAAUUCUUUGACAGAUUUCUUGCACAAUUCUUUCACACAUAGUAGAUAUGGGAGUAUCUUCACAUUCUUUGUGCUCCACUCGCCUUGAACCUGAUGAAUCAACAAGUCUGAAUCAACUAUAACCAACAAUUAUUGUAUGUUCAUAUCAAUAACCAUUCUAAGCCUAAGAACACAAGCCUCGUACUCCGCCAUAUUAUUUGUGCAUAAGAAUCUGAACUCUAUUGAGACAGGAUAAUGUUGACCUGAUUCUGAAAUCAACACCGCUCCAGCGCCGACUUCUUUGGAAUUCACAGCACCAUAAAAAAAUAUUCUCCACCUGAGAUAUUCUUCUGAAAUAUCCUCUCCAAUAGAUAAAACUUCUUCAUCAGGGAAAUAAGUUUUAAGAGGCUUAUACUCUUCAUCUACGGGAUUUUCAGCUAACGAUUGUCCCUUGAUGGCAUUUUGAGUGACAUAAACAAUAUCAAAUUCGCAUAGCAAAAUUUGCCACUUCACCAGCCUCCCAGUAGGCAUAGGCUUCUGAAAGAUGUACUUGAGCGGAUCCAUCAUUGAGAUGAGGAAAGUGGUAUACGCACAUAAGUAAUGUCUUAACUUUUGCGCAAUCCAAGUCAAGGCAUAAUAUGUGCGCUCCAAUAAACUAUACCAAGCUUCAUAAGGAGUGAAUUUCUUGCUCAAGUAAUAUAAACUUGCUCCUUCUUUACAGUUUCAUCAUGUUGUCCCAGCACACAUCCAAAUGCAUUAUCAGACACCGACAAAUACAACAACAAUGGUCUUCCAACAUUAUAAAGCAAUAUAGGCAUUUAUCCCAUCCAUCCACCGAGAAAAACACCAAAUGCACACUUUACGGGAUUUAACUUCAGAUUGUACCGCCUUAAUCUGUCAGAGAACUUCUUCAAAUCAGUUAUAUGAUCUGAGAUCUUCCGUGACUUGAUGAUGACAUCAUCCACAUAGAUUUCAAUCUCCUUAUGGAUCAUAUCAUGAAAUAUGGUAGUCAUAGCUCUCAUAUAUGUUGCCCCUACAUUCUUGAAUCCAAAAGGCAUUACCUGAUAACAAUAUACUCCCCAAGGUGUGAUGAAUGCUGUUUUUUCCGCAUCCUCUUCAUCCAUUAGAAUUUGAUGAUAUCCUGCAAAGCAAUCAACAAAUGACUACAUUUCAUGCUUUGCAUAAUUAUUAGUAAGUAUGUGAAUUGAGAGAGGAAAAUCAUCAUUUGGGCUAGCCUUGUUGAGAUCUCAAUAAUCUAUGCAUACUCUAAUUUUUCCAUCUUUCUUUGGUACUGGUACUAUGUUGGCCAACCAUGUGGGAUACUUGGUGACCCGGUUGACAUUGGCAUCAAAUUGUUUAGAGACUUCUUCCUUAACUUUUAAACUCAAAUCAGGCUUGAUCUUUCUCGGCUUUUGCUUUACUGGGAGGCAAGAGGGAUCAAUUGGCAACUUGUGUGAAACAAUGUCCGUACUUAGACCUGACAUAUCAUGAUAAGACCAUGCGAACACAUCCUUAUAUUGUCUCAAAAGUGCAACAAGUUCUUUUCUUUGGUACAGAGUCAAAUAGACACUAAUUCUUGUUUCCCUCACUAAUUCUGAAUCUCCAAAUUUAUCGUCUCAGUUUCAUCCAAAUUUGGCUUUUCUUUAUUUUCAAAAUAUUCAAACUACUUAGUCAACUCUUCAGAUUGCACAUCUUCUUCCUGUUCUGCAAAAGUUUGUUCACUGUUCGGGAUUUGUUCGCUCGUUUCAUUACAUGUCACAUUCUCGGUAUUAACAGAUUUAUUAGUUUGCUUGCUGAAAAAGAGAAAAAUAAAAUAAAAUAAAUAAUUAAGGAUAAAAUUUGAAACUCAAAGCAGAAAAUGUAUCUUAGAUUCGGCAUCUAAGCUUUCAAAAGAUAGAGGGAAAACACAACAAGUUCAAAAACAUUAUUCAGGCCUCAAAUUGAAUCAUGUUGUUUUGUUAAUUCUAAUACAAUCAUCUACCAAGAUUUUCGGAGAACCGGGGACAGGUUACAAGUCCAAUUGUUCAAAGCAUCUCUAGGCAUAGUAUCGCAUAUGGUCAGGGUCUCGGUGCAGUCCUCCAAAAUCAUAUUGCAUUCAGCUUCUUCAAUGAACAAACUUUUGAGUCCUUCUGCGAGGUUGUCUUCAACAACUUCUUCUAAUCCUUGUGCAACAAAUGCCUUGGAAAAUGACUGAUUCAAAGCUGUGAUAAGUUAUGGUAAGGGAAUGUCACUUUUCCUUUUGAGAUUAGCCGAUGAGAUUUCUUCAGGAGUAGGUGUGUAUCCAAGACCAAAGGUGUAUUUCUGACCAGAUAAUUGAAUAAUUGGUUCCACUAUUCCAUUAAAUUUCGCUCCAAGACCUUAACCAGGGAUAAAACCAUUCUUCAACAUCUCCCAAGCCACCAUCAUAAGCACACGUGGCAAAUUUGUCUUUUCAGCUUAUGUAGCACACAUAAUUUCCCUAAUAUGGAAUAUAAACCCAUCCAACUCUUCCAUACUUUCAAUAAUAGGGACUGAAUUUUCAGGAUAUAUCGAGUUGUUGCCUUCUCCAUGAACAACGAUUUCCUGAUGGUUCCAAACAAAUUUCAAAGUCUGAUAGUUGCUAUAACCCAUUUUAACUCGCGAUCAAAAUAUGUACAACAUAUUGGUGAUUUCCAAAUUAUUAACUAACUUAAAAAGUCGCCACCUAAUUAAUUACGGUGAAUUAGGGCACCUAAAACGAUUAAGUUAUUGUCUAAAAUUAACUUCAUUUUAAGGUCUACUAAACAUGAGAUUCUAGGUAAGGGUUCUAGUUAUCCUAAAGGGAAGGGGUAAGGCAUCCUUUAAGAUCUGUUGAAAAAUAGUUAAUCGGCCAAACUUAGGUUAAUUAAUUUUAAAAAAGAUAUGAGUGCUAAAGAAUAAGUAAUUGAGUAACCAAGUUGGAAAACAUUUUUUAUUUUAAAAGCUCUUUUGCAAUUGUAUUAGAAUGAAAAAUAUUUAAGAAAGAGUAAUUUCUUUAGAUCAAUUUAGAUAUUUGCUCAUUGAUUGACAAAGUGCUCCCUUUAGAAAAAGUUUUACAAAAAUAAGUGUUUAGAACAUUUUUUUUUUAAAGACAUUGUCAAGUUGAACAAAACUUAAUAAAUCUAGUGGGUUUAAAAAUGGAGCAUAAAGAAGUGUUUUAAAAAGAUUUUGCCAAAUAAAGUUUAUAAAAGCUGAAAUUAUUAUAAAGGUUUGUUUCUAACUAAAAAGGUACCCAAACUCAAACAUCUAUAUUAUGUCAACUAUUAUGAAACAAGAAAUUAACUCAUAUCCAAAACACAUAAGCAAGUUAAAACAAAUAAAUGCUAAAUAGUAAUAAGUAAAAGCGACCCCCAAAUGAAUUUUGCUUGCAUUUUUUAUAGUGUGGGAUGUCGAAUUCAUGUACGGGUAUGAUGGUGUUGAGUCCAUGAGACUCUAAUUUUGCGAGAGUCCUUAAUUGAGACUCCAUUUGCUCCAAAGUGUUCAUGAAAAUAAAGAAAGAAUAAAGAGAUUAGUGACGUGAAUCCACUUUAAGACUAUAUCGAAUAAACCAAACAUGAAGCCUAGUAAAGUCGUACAACCAAUAUACUAUCCGGAAUGGAAAAUAUGCAAGCAUAUGAUAAGCCGACUUAUUAACAGAACUCAAAGUAAUUAGCUUACAAGAUAAAACUAAUUCUCAAGUUUAUCCAAUUUAAUCUAUAAUGAAGUUACAUUUUAAGGAAUGAAGAUAAUUAAAACAAGCCAUUUAUUUAAAACUUAUAAGAAAGACUUAAACACAUAUACUAUAUAUGUUGACAGAAUAGGAAAGAAACUUAAAAACUCACAUUCUUUAAAAUAACAUAUUCAGAGAUUUACAUGUCAUUUAUUUAGAAAAAUUGAAGGAAGCUUAUGUACACAUAUUUGCUAAAAAAUAAUAGGAAAGAAGUUUAAAGAUUCACAAGUUAUUGACAGUAUAUUUUUCAUUCAACAAAAGGAACAAAUAAAAGCAUCAUAACAUAAAAUCUCUUGCCAGAUAAGGAUACCAAAUGCCAAAGAUAACAUUUUCAUCAUGAUGACAAAGAAAACAAAGGAAAAGAGGAACACGUUACAAGUCAAAUAUCGAAAAACAAAGUUUAGGACAUUUCAUUUGCAUCUUAAUCUAGUAAAGGCUAUACUCCGACAAACAUAAACAAAGCAAUACAUAUUUUAUAGGCUUAACAUUAUCUCAAAACAGUGGAAAAUAUAUUCGGUUAACAUCACUUAAGUAUGCUGAUAAGUAUUUUACUCAUUUGUCAAACUUCAAGCAAAGCAUAGUUUCCAAAGAGUUUACAACCUAAAAAUGAGUCUUGGAAACAUGAUUUCUAAAAAAUAAAAUAAAACAAUCUUCAAAAUACUUUAACAUCUGAUUUUUACAAAAGAAAUGAACAAACAGUGAAUAUUAAAAUCAAAGAUCAACUAAGUUACAUUCAUUCAUCAUUAUGCCAAAAACACAAAAGUGUUGAAAUGAAACUAACAGUAAGUCCAUAACACAUUAAAACACAAAUUCGUCUAUAUCUCACGAAAAUAAAAAAUAAAAAAACUGGAUGUCACUGACCUAUUUUGGGGCAGUGAACUGGGGGUGUUUUCGGUCGAAGAUCUAUGCUCGAAUAUGAAGACGAGGUUAAACCCGUUCAAAUCCAAAAUUGCAGCAACAAAAUGAAGAACAAAACUUUAAAACUAGGUGUGAUAGCUUCAAAGCUUUUAGGGUAGACGAAAAGCUGAAAAACUUAUCCUCAAUUUGACUCCAAAUACAAGUAUUUAUAGGGAGAAAACAGAGUUUAUGAGCAGGAAUUCAAAUUUUUUAAAUUGGUAAAAAACAAACCUUCAAAUCCAAACGUUGGAAACCCUUAGGAUAAGAUUUGUAGGAGCCACAUGAUUGAGAGGACAUUGGCGUGAAGAUGGAGUACCUACCCUCUGCUUAUUGUUGACAAAAUACGCUAAUUUUCCAGAAAAAAUGAAAGAGGAGACAUGAUGUG